rnacentral:piRNA from 1 species
UUCUAAGGGCGUCGGAAUGCUCCAUCGGC